AAAAACAUGUCCUUUUGAUAAUAAUUUAAGGUCUAACCUGCCCAAUGAGUAUUUCUUAAAUGGCCGCAGUAUUUUGACUGUGCAAAGGUAGCAUAAUCAAUAGUUUUUUAAUUGAAAGCUGGAAUGAAAGGUUUAAUGAGAAAAUAGCUGUCUCUAACAAAAUUUAUUAGAACUUUAUUAUUAAGUGAAAAUGCUUAGAUAUAAAUAGAAGACGAGAAGACCCUAUAGAGUUUUAUAUUUAUUUUUAUUUUAUAAUUUAGUAUUUUAAAUAUAUUAUAAAUAUAAGUAUUUAGUUGGGGUGAUUGAAAAAUUAAGUAAACUUUUUUUUAUUAUUACACAAAUUUGUGAGUAUAUGAUCCUUUUUUAAAGAUUAAAAGAUAAAAUUACCUUAGGGAUAACAGCGUUAUUUUUUUUGAGAGUUCUUAUCGAAAGAAAAGAUUGCGACCUCGAUGUUGGAUUAAAAUUAAUUUAUGGUGUAGGAGCUAUAAUAUUAGGUCUGUUCGACCUUUGAAAUUUUACUUGAUCUGAGUU
rnacentral:rRNA from 1 species